CUCCUGUAGCGAGUCCUAUAUAACACGUCGCGUACAUCCCGAAUCUCAUAGACUCUGUAGACUCCACCAUGUCUCCUUACACCGGCGUCUUCCUCCUCCUCCUCCUGAGCUGUGCAGCCAUCUAUGCGGACAACCAACCCCACCAUCCAGAUCCUCCACCCCACAAGCCACCACCUCCUCCACAUAUUCAACCCCACUAUCCAGCUCCUCCACCUAUUCGACCCAACAAUCCACCUCCUCCACCUCCGAACAACAUAGCUUACAGAGCUUGUCCACCGGUUCCCAGGAUAAGAUGUCAGACCCCGUGGGUUAAAUCAGAAUGCAGCUUCGACCAUCAGUGCGGCCCGGGCAAAAAAUGCUGCGAGACCCCCUGCAAUAAAGCCUGCAAGAAAGUCUAAGAUUUGGCUGCAGACCAAUAUGGGAAGACACGGCUCCUCCAGAUAAUUCCCAGUUGAGUGUAUAACAUGAAAUGUGGGUGUCUCAGGUGUAAUUCCCGUUGUGCAUUGUGUGUUUCCAUCAAUAAAAUACAUGACAAGGA